AUUGAACGCUGGCGGCAUGCCUUACACAUGCAAGUCGAACGGUAACAGGUCUUCGGAUGCUGACGAGUGGCGAACGGGUGAGUAAUACAUCGGAACGUGCCUAGUAGUGGGGGAUAACUACUCGAAAGAGUGGCUAAUACCGCAUGAGAUCUACGGAUGAAGGCAGGGGAUCGCAAGACCUUGUGCUACUAGAGCGGCCGAUGGCAGAUUAGGUAGUUGGUGGGAUAAAAGCUUACCAAGCCGACGAUCUGUAGCUGGUCUGAGAGGACGAUCAGCCACACUGGGACUGAGACACGGCUCAGACUCCUACGGGAGGCAGCAGUGGGGAAUUUUGGACAAUGGGCGAAAGCCUGAUCCAGCAAUGCCGCGUGCAGGAUGAAGGCCUUCGGGUUGUAAACUGCUUUUGUACGGAACGAAAAGCCCUGGGUUAAUACCCUGGGGUCAUGACGGUACCGUAAGAAUAAGCACCGGCUAACUACGUGCCAGCAGCCGCCGUAA
rnacentral:rRNA from 1 species